rnacentral:rRNA from 1 species
GUAGGUGGCAAGCGUUGUCCGGAUUUACUGGGCGUAAAGAGCGCGCAGGCGGUUGAUUAAGUCGAAUGUGAAAGCCCCCGGCUCAACUGGGGAGGGUCAUUCGAUACUGGUCGGCUUGAAGGCAGGAGAGGGUAGUGGAAUUCCCGGUGUAGUGGUGAAAUGCGUAGAUAUCGGGAGGAACACCAGUGGCGAAGGCGACUACCUGGCCUGUUCUUGACGCUGAGGCGCGAAAGCUGGGGGAGCAAACGGGAUUAGAUACCCCGGUAGUCCCAGCCGUAAACGAUGGACACUAGGUGUUGGUGGUAUCAACCCCGCCAGUGCCGUAGCUAACGCAUUAAGUGUCCCGCCUGGGGAGUACGGCCGCAGGCUA